UUCAGAGAAGAUUCAAAUAUUAUUCAUAGAUAAACUUGAUCAUAAACCCACAAUUCAUCGGAUCUCGACAAACACACUGCAAAAAGAGUUUACAUCGAAUAGAUCUCCACAAGAGAGGGGGAGAACAUUGUAUUGAGAUCCAAAAAGAGAGAAGAAGCCAGCUAGCUAAUAACUAUGGACCCGUAGGUCUAUGGUAAACUACUCACAACUCAUCGGAGGGGCAAGGAUGUUGAUGUAGAGGCCCUCCGUGGUCGAUUCCCCCUCCGACAGAACACCGGCGAAGGCUCCAAGAUGGGAUCUCGCGGAUACAGAAGGUUACGGUGGUGGAAAUUGUGUUUCGUCUGCCCCUGGAUGUUUUUGGGGUAGGUAGGCUUAUGUAGGAGGAAGAAGUAUGUCGGGGAUGCCCGAGGGGCCCACGAGACAGGGGGGCGCGCCCUACAGGGGGGCGCCCUCCUAUCUCGUGGGAGCCUCAGCUGCUUCUUGACUUGCACUCCAAGUUCUCUGGAUCACGUUCGUUCCAAAAAUCAUGCUCCCGAAGGUUUCAUUCCAUUUGGACUCCGUUUGAUAUUCCUUUUCUUCGAAAUACUGAAAUAGGCAAAAAACAGCAAUACGGGCUGGGCCUCCGGUUAGUGGGUUAGUCCCAAAAAUGAAAUAAAUGUGUAAAAUAAAGCCCAUAAACAUCCAAAAGGGGGUAAUAUAAUAGCAUGGAAUAAUCAAAAAUUAUAGAUACGUUGGAGACGUAUCAGCCUCGACCGACCUGGUGGUCGGUAUUCCUCCCGAAGCCACGAUCAACCCUACAGCCACCGAGGCUCCCAAGGGAGGAUCUCACGAAGGCAUGGAAGACCCGCGCCUUCACGAAGAACAAGACUCCGUUGAUGCCUCCCCCUCGUCGAGCACCCUGUCUACUUUGUCAGCACGGUACUGAGGGAGGCCUGGGCGCGCUACCCCAUGCCUCAGAAACUCCUAUUCGCGCUCCUGGUCGCCUCCCGAAAACUGCGCCACUACUUUCAAGGCCAUCCCAUCAAGGUUGUUUCGGCGUACCCACUGGAGAGGGUGCUCUAGAGCCUGAAUGCCACCGGGCGAGUUGUCGAAUGGAACAUCGAGUUUCAGGCGUUCAAUCUCGAGUUCAUCACCACUAGGGUCAUUAAGGGUGCGGCCCUCGCGGACUUCGUGGCCGAGUGGACUGACACUCUCGACCGCAGACUAAGCGAGGACCGCUCCCUCUUGCUACGAGACAAGGAACUGGAUGGGUGAAUCAUGUACUUUGAUGGAGCAUUUGCGCGGCAAGGCGCGGGAGCAGGGGCCGUCCUCAUCUCACCCACCAAGGACAAGCUCUACUACGCGGUGCAGCUCUGCUUCCAGCAGGGCGAGAAGGUCUCAAACAAUAUUGCGGAGUUCGAAGGCUUGCUCGCCGGGCUCAGAGCCGCGGCAGCGCUGGGGUGAAGCGCGUCACCAUCAAGGGCGACUCUUAGCUCCUCGUCAACUUAUCCAACAAGGAGUACACGCCCAAGGACGAGCAUAUGGAGGCGUACCUAGAAGAGGUGCACAAGAUGGAGAAAUGAUUCAUGGGCGUGGAGCUGCAGCACGUGCCGCGCGGAAUGAACAAGGAGGCGGAUGACAUCGCCAAGAGAGCCUCCUGCAGGCUCCCUCAGGAGUCGGGGGUGUUUGAGGAGCGGCUCUUCAAGCCGUCUGCGGCACCCCCCACCACGACUCCAGCACCGCCUCCGGAGGGUUUGCCUCAGGCACCUGAGACGGGCGCCCCAGCCUGUGGCCACCCCUCGGGGGCCUGCCUGCUGCUUGCGCUCGAGCCUCGGGAGGGGUGCUGGACCGGAGAGCUCAAGACGUACCUGCUUCAAGAGACCCUGCCGGAGAAGGAGGAGAAAGCCGAGUGCAUGGCACGUCAAGCCACUGCGUACUACAUUCAGGAUGGUGAGUUAUAUUGCAAGAGGCCCAAUGACGUUUUGUUGCGGUGCAUCUCCAGGGAACAGGGGCUUGAGCUGCUAGCGGACAUACAUGGUGGGGACUGCGGGCAUCAUUCCUCAUCACGCACUCUGGUGGGCAAGGCGUUCCGCAGCGGCUUCUAUUAGCCCACCGCGCUCAACGCCACAGAGCUGGUGCGCUCUUGUGAAGCAUGCCAGUUUCACGCCAAGCAAAUCCACCAGCCUGCGCAGGGCCUCCAGACAAUCCCGCUCACAUGGCCGUUCGCGGUCUGGGGGCUGGACAUCUUGGGGCCGUUCCCUCGAGCGCCAGGGGGCUACCGGUACCUCUACGUUGCCAUCGACAAGUUCACCAAGUGGGCGGAGGUAGAAGCCGUGCGCACCAUUCCAGCUGGAUCGGCCGUCAAGUCCAUCAAGGGAAUCGUGAGCCGGUUUGGGCCCCCAACCGCACCAUCACUGACAACGGCUCGCAAUUCACUAGCAACAUUUUCAAAACAUACUGUGCUAACCUUGGAACGCAGAUAUGCUACGCCUCAGUGGCACACCCACGGAGCAAUGGUCAGGCCGAGCGGGGCAAUGCAGAAGUCCUGAGGGGCCUCAAGACCAGGACCUUCAAGAAGAAGCUCAUGAAAUAGUUUUAUUUUAGCUGAGAGGCGGCAUGGUUAACAUGAAUAUCCAAAUCAUUUGUCUUUCAUUUGCCUAAUGUACCCAUUUUUCUUGCUAUAGUUCCCGCAACAACAUGCGGGGUAUCAUCUAGUUCUAUCUUUAUAGGUGCAGAUCUUCCAGACCACGAAAAAGAAAAGCUCAUGAAAACAUUAAAGAGCCAUCACAAAGCAUUUGGAUAUUCCAUGGACGGCCUUACCAAUCAGAGAAUAUCUAAGAAAGUUAAAUCUUAAAAUGAUGAAAGUGGUAACAAAAAAGGUUGUCUAAUUACUUGAUGUGGGUUUAUCUUUCACGUAGCUGAAAGCAAGUGGGUGAGCCUAGUUUAUUGUAUUCAACCUAGAGCAGCCUCACCUGGGCGAGCGCGAAACUAGGCCGGCCACAACGUUUGUUUUAUGCUUUUUUUUUAACUUUUUUGUCUUUUUCUUUCCUUAUUUUAGUUUUGUUUAUACUUUCAAAUAUUAUAUAUUAAAAAAAUGUUAAACAUGUAUGAGAAAUAGUGGUUAUGUAUUAAAAAUGGUUAAAAGUGUAUAAAAAUGUUGAUCAUGUGUUGAGCAAUUUUUUAAUGGCAAUAAAAAAAUUUCACACGUAAUGUAUAUUUUCCUUAUACAUCAGGAACAUUUGUAUGUCUAACAUUUUAAAAUAUAGUUUUUUGAAAUAUAAUACUCCCUCCGUGAACUAAUGUAAGAGCAUUUAGAAUACUAAAAAGGUGAUCUAAACGCUCUUAUAUUAGUUUACGGAGGGAGUAUAUCUUUUGAUGUCUAUUUUUAUUUAAUGUAUGUUGUACAUUUUUUGUAUGCAUCGGAAACAUUUUUUAUACACCUGUAACAUUUUUAAAAUAUAUGAUCAAUAUUUUUCAUAUAAAAAAAUAAAAACAAAGAAAACCAAAGGAAAAAAAAAUGCCGCAGAAAACCACUGCAGAAAGAAUAAAAAACAGUAAAAAUGUAGAAACAAGCAACACAAACCAGCAGCGUGCAAACCGCGGGCUCCUCCGACUAUUCCGUGGGUAGCAGUAUUCGCGAUUCGCAAGUCACCACGAACGACAUGGGCGCCACAGAAUGUCGACAUAGACCACACGCCCCCCGACUGCGCGUGCUCGCCACCCGAUUGGCCGGCGGGUAUAAAUGGUGGUGCGCAUCGCCUGAGCCGCACGCCGACGCGCACUGUCUUCCCAAACAGCCGAGCAGUCAACUGAACGGCAGCCCACCAAGCGUCCCAGCCGGUCAUUGAGAGGCGCUGCCGCGGGGCCUGGGCGUCCCGGGAACUGCAGGAACGAUGCAGUCGCUGCAGGACAAGGCGUCGGAGUGGAGCGGCGUCGCGGCCGCCGACGCCUUCGCCAUCGACGAAGUCAACGUCUUCGAGGCGCUCGGCGGCACCCCGCAGCCCUUCGUCGACCUCUCCACCAACUUCUACACCAGGGUUUAUGAGGACGAGGAGGAGUGGUUCCGGGAGAUAUUCUCGGGGUCCAAGAAGGAGGACGCGAUCCAGAACCAGUACGAGUUCUUGGUGCAGCGGAUGGGCGGCCCGCCGCUAUUCUCCCAGAGGAGAGGACAUCCUGCCUUGAUAGGACGACAUCGGCCAUUCCCAGUUACCCACCGAGCUGCGGAGCGAUGGCUACACCACAUGCAGCAAGCUCUGGAAACCACCGAAAGCAUAAACCCAGAUACAAAACCCAAAAUGAUGAAUUUUUUCAGGCACACUGCAUACUUCCUUGUCGCCGGUAAUGAGAUGACAAGGCAAACCCAAAGUGUACCUCCCUGCAAACAUGCAACGAGCAAACCAGCCGAGGCUCCAUGGAGCUUGGGAGCAAGAUAUCCACUCUCGGUUUCUGCUGGCUUCUUCUCUCGAGUUUCGGAGAAGUAAACCUACAUGUUGUGUUGUCGAGAGAAUUUACCGUCCAAAUUAUUUUACACUGUAAAGUACUGUAUUUGGACAAGGGAUUUGGGGAAGGGAACAUGACAUGGAUGGGGCGUGGUACUAUAAGCACAAGGAAGGGUACUUGGAUCGAGUGGGACGCGUACAGUUGCAGCCAUGUGCCCACCUUGUUGGCUA
rnacentral:rRNA from 1 species